GCCCAGGUGGUGAAACUGGUAGACAUAUACGUUUGAGGUGCGUAUGCCGUAAGGCGUGGGGGUUCAAAUCCCCCCUUGGGUA
rnacentral:tRNA from 1 species